GAUGAACGCUGGCGGCGUGCCUAAUACAUGCAAGUCGAGCGAACAGACGAGGAGCUUGCUCCUCUGACGUUAGCGGCGGACGGGUGAGUAACACGUGGAUAACCUACCUAUAAGACUGGGAUAACUUCGGGAAACCGGAGCUAAUACCGGAUAAUAUAUUGAACCGCAUGGUUCAAUAGUGAAAGACGGUUUUGCUGUCACUUAUAGAUGGAUCCGCGCCGCAUUACCUAGUUGGUAAGGUAACGGCUUACCAAGGCAACGAUGCGUAGCCGACCUGGGAGGGUGAUCGGCCACACUGGAACUGAGACACGGUCCAGACUCCUACGGGAGGCAGCAGUAGGGAAUCUUCCGCAAUGGGCGAAAGCCUGACGGAGAAACGCCGCGUGAGUGAUGAAGGUCUUCGGAUCGUAAAACUCUGUUAUUAGGGAAGAACAAAUGUGUAAGUAACUAUGCACGUCUUGACGGUACCUAAUCAGAAAGCCACGGCUAACUACGUG
rnacentral:rRNA from 1 species